UGAGGUGUAGCGGACGUCGCGCGGCCGCUCAGGCCGGCCGCCGCGCCGGGCCCAGAUCCGCGUCAGGGUGCCUUGC
rnacentral:tRNA from 1 species